AAAUCAGUUUUAUUUAAAACUAUCAAUAUAGUAUAAAAAUAGCUUU
rfam:Chlorocebus sabaeus isolate 1994-021 chromosome 7, whole genome shotgun sequence.